AAACCAACAGGGAUUGCCUUAGUAACGGCGAGUGAAGCGGCAAAAGCUCAAAUUUGAAAUCUGGCGCCUUCGGUGUCCGAGUUGUAAUUUGAAGAAGGUAACUUUGGAGUUGGCUCUUGUCUAUGUUCCUUGGAACAGGACGUCACAGAGGGUGAGAAUCCCGUGCGAUGAGAUGCCCAAUUCUAUGUAAAGUGCUUUCGAAGAGUCGAGUUGUUUGGGAAUGCAGCUCUAAGUGGGUGGUAAAUUCCAUCUAAAGCUAAAUAUUGGCGAGAGACCGAUAGCGAACAAGUACAGUGAUGGAAAGAUGAAAAGAACUUUGAAAAGAGAGUGAAAAAGUACGUGAAAUUGUUGAAAGGGAAGGGCUUUAGAUCAGACUUGGUAUUUUGCGAUCCUUUCCUUCUUGGUUGGGUUCCUCGCAGCUUACUGGGCCAGCAUCGGUUUGGAUGGUAGGAUAAUGAUUAAGGAAUGUGGCUCUGCUUCGGUGGAGUGUUAUAGCCUUGGUUGAUACUGCCUGUCUAGACCGAGGACUGCGUCUUUUGACUAGGAUGUUGGCAUAAUGAUCUUAAGCCAC
rnacentral:rRNA from 1 species